GGUCCCCACUCUAAACCAAAUCCUCACAGACCCUGCUGUGAGGAGCUGGUAGGAGCCAGGCUAGCGGAGGGCUUAGACAGAUCAGGGACCUGGGAUAACCGAGCAGUGCAGGAGCUAGGGCUGUUGAAAGUGACCUGAGACCCUCCUUUCUUCCCUUCUCAUUCAUUCAAGCCUCCUCUCUUAGCCAAGCCCUGGGCCAGGCACUGGUGAGAGAGAGAUGCAUCGGCCAGGGUACCACCCUCAGGAGCCCAUGAUGGCAGGAGGGGGGGCAGGAGGUGGGUGGAGAAGGGGCUCAGAAUACAGGCAAGUAAACCAACAUCUGCAAAUGAUAACGAGAAGCUCGGGGCACUGCGAGAGAAUCCAGAGAAACGGAAUCCGCUCAGUCUGCGAGAUACAAGGAGGAGGAGGUGGCCUCUGGCUGGACUUUGAAGGAGGACAAAUAAGAGCUUUGCGCUGGUGGACAAGGCGGAGAAGGGCAUAGAGCAGAGGCAUGGAUGUGGAAAGAAAACGCUUCUCCUGGGGAGAAGCGUUUUCUAAAGAUCCCUGCAAAAACUCCCCGGGAAGGAGCCGCCUCUGUUUGCCAGGCUCCGGAGAGACAACCUGAAGCAGAGAACAGAGAAGCUGGAAUAAAAGGCCUUUCAGGUCUUUCUAAGGUUGGCAAUUCUGAGCUGACCCCGAUUAGAAGGAAAGCUCAGUGUCUCAUUUCAGGACUAAAGAAGGAUCUCGAGCCAAAGUUACACGAUUACAAAACCCUCCAUGGAUCCAUAUGCCUUUGCCGGUGUCUUUCCUGGCCUGGGGGCCCUCAUCUUCCCAGAAUUCAGCUCUCAGCAUCCUGUUCUGAAGUUCCCCGGUGAGGGCCUGGGCCCCAUACCUCCUGCCAGAAGACCUGUGAGAGAGCUGUGGGUGGGGAAGGACCUGGAAGGGCCGUGGGUGGGUGGCCAGGGGCUGAGCCUCCAGGAUCAGAACAGCCCAGCCAGCACCCUGGCCGCCAGACUCCCAGCUCGCACCCAAGUGGUACAAGAGGUCCUUUCACAUGGACCCCCCAGUUACCCAUUUCUCCCCUGUCCCCUUAAAACACAGGUACAGCAAUCCCCUUAGUCACAGUUGUCCUCCUCUGCCAAGACUAGGAGACUUUGGCUUCUCUCUCUGCCCUCAGGGACGGUAGGUGGGUAAACUUAACAUCAUCCCCGUUCCAAGAUGAGUCAGAAUGGAGACUAGGAGGUUUUGGGGGGGGGCAACUCCAGGAGGCUAGGUCCCCAGAGAACGUCUGAGCUAGGGCUGAGGGACCACAGAGGAAGCCACCUCUUGCUUGUCUGGGUUCUAAGUGGCACAAUUCCUUUUGAUUCUUGGGUCCCAGUCCAUGGAGGACAGAGGACUUGCUGACGGAUUAGACGUGGGGGUGACCAGCAGUGAGGGGCCAGGGCCGACUCCGGAUGCUGGUUUGGCUGACGUGUUCGUGGUGGAAAGGCAGAAGAGAAAGCCAGGGGAGAGGGCUACAUAAUGAGCUAGCAGGAAAUGUCCAUCAUCUCCUUUAAAAUUUCACCUUCUGCAUAAUAGGAAAAAAAAUCGUGAAUGACUGACAGAGAGCAAAGCUUGCUGAUGCUCACUUUGUGCUUGGCACUGAGGACGGGGAGACAAAUUAGCCUGUCCCCGCCCUGGAGGAGCACCUUGUCUGUGGAAGCGGGCAGCAUGUUUCAAGACACUUCUCGGAACAACUUUUGGAGAUGUAUCUUGAAAGAAGUUGCUGUGGCCGAUGUCAAAGAGGUUACUGCCUAUGUUCUCUUCUAGAAACAGUCAACAAAACAAAGAGGCAACCCACAGAAUGGGAGAAGAUAUUUGCAAAUGACACUACAGAUAAAGGGCUGGUAUCCAAAAUCUAUAAAGAACUUCUCAAACUCAACACCCAAAAAACAAAUAAUCAAGUCAAAAAGUGGGCAGAAGAUAUGAAAAGACACUUCUCCAAAGAAGACAUACAAUGGCUAACAGACACAUGAAAAAAUGUUCAUCAUCAUUAGCCAUCAGGGAAAUUCAAGUCAAAACCACAUUGAGAUACCACCUUACACCAGUUAGAAUGGCAAAAAUGGACAGGGAAAGAAGCAACAAAUGUUGGAGAGGUUGUGGAGAAAGGGGAACCCUCUUACACUGUUGGUGGGAAUGCGAGUUGGUACAGCCACUUUGGAAAACAGUGUGGAGGUUCCUCAGAAAUUUAAAAAUAGAGCUACCCUAUGACCCAGCAAUUGCACUACUGGGUAUUUACCCCAAAGACACAGAUGUACUGAAAAGAAGGGCCAUAUGCACCCCAAUGUUCAUAGCAGCAAUGUCCGCAAUAGCCAAACUGUGGAAAGAGCUGAGAUGCCCUUCAACAGACGAAUGGAUGAAGAAGAUGUGGUCCAUAUAUACAAUGGAAUAUUACUCAGUCAUCAGAAAGGAUGAAUACACAACUUUUUCAUCAACAUGGAUGGAACUGGAGGAGAUUAUGCUAAGUGAAAUAAGUCAAUUAUCAUAUGGUUUCACUUAUUUGUGGAACAUAAGGAAUAGCAUGGAGGACAUUAGGAGAAG